GACAGAGGUGCCGAGCGUUAGGCGGAAUCACUGGGCUUAAAGCGUGUGUAGGCGGGCCGUUAAGUGUCUUGUGAAAUCCCCCGGCUCAACCGGGGAAUUGCUGGGCAUACUGGCGGUCUUAAGCAGUCUAGGGGCAGAUGGAACAAGUGGUGGAGCGGUGAAAUGCGUAGAUAUCACUUGGAACGCCAAAGGUGAAGACAGUCUGCUGGGGACUUGCUGACGCUGAGACACGAAAGCCAGGGGAGCGAACGGG
rnacentral:rRNA from 1 species